AGAUGCGCUUCCGGCGGAGCCGAGGCCGGAAGCGGAAGAAGGGGACACAGACCUGCGUCCAAGCUGUGCCACCUGAGACGUGGGCGGUCCCAGUGACCGGGAGCCGGAGCUCGAACGGGACGGGCGAACAGAAGCGCGGAGGGCUUCGCAGCGUCGGCGUCUGUGCGUGGGCCAAACAUCAGGGCCUCGACCAGGGAUACAAGGGCAACCGCUAACUAGAUUCCUGAUUCCUGAUGGCUGGCGGCGGCUGACACCAAAGGUAAAAGGCCUUUUAGGGAAAGAAACCAUUUGUGAAAAGCUCUUGGGCUAAACUCGCUCUGCAAACUGGGGGCGCACGCUCGUGGCCAAACUCUGGCAGUGGGACUAUCCCGGAGCACCCGAUCCCUGGAAUCAUGUUCUGGAAACCACCGCGACGUGCGCAGUUCUCGGGCGUGGCCCUGGUAUCAUCCCACUGAAUCCUAGGAACGCGGUGCGUGCCCGUGGGAGAGCAAGAUCGCGAGGCACGAGCUGUGAGGGCACACCGCCUCUCUUGGUCCUCCGAAGCAAAGACACUGAUGCUCCCAGAAGCUGCGGAAGGACCUGGGUAUUUCUCCAGGCUGGAGAUGACUUCCAGCACCGCCACCAUGUUCCGGAUCUGUGGAAAUAAAAAGCCAUUUGUCAGGUCCCUGUCCUUCUCCACUGGGAGGCUGGAACACCCUGCCCCAGCCUGCUCCAGUCUCUCCCCAACCCCAGAGCAAGAGGAGCCAGCAGCACUGAAGCCCCCACUCCAUGUCGUCUCCUACCUGCUCCCUGGGCCAACCUGGCACCCAGUGCUCAUCCUCACCUGCCGUCUGACCUCCUCCAGUGUGUGGUGUGCGGGCUGCCCCAAGCCCUCCAGUGUACAUGGUACAUACCCACCCACCUGCUGAAACCCAGGAUGCCUGUGGAACAAGAGCUGCUCCUGAUACUUAAGAUGACCUCUACUCUGCCAUCUGAUGGGAGUGGGAGAGGAGACACGGAAGAAUUCAUCGAAUAAAAUCCACAAAGCUUAAAAGAUCAA